GAUGAAGAACGUAGCGAAAUGCGAUAAGUAAUGUGAAUUGCAGAAUUCAGUGAAUCAUCGAAUCUUUGAACGCACAUUGCGCCCCCUGGUAUUCCGGGGGGCAUGCCUGUCCGAGCGUCAUUGCAACCCUCAAGCGCGGCUUGUGUGUUGGGCUUCGUCCCCCCGUGGACGUGCCCGAAAGGCAGUGGCGGCGUCCCGAAUGGUGCCCGAGCGUAUGGGAACUCUCUUCCGCUCGAACCGGCCCAUUCGGCGCUGGUCGAACCCCAAUUUUUUUUUACCGGUUGACCUCGGAUCAGGUAGGGAUACCCGCUGAACUUAAGCAUAUCAAUAAGCGGAGGA
rnacentral:misc_RNA from 1 species